AUUUGGUUUUGGUUCUGUGUCUUGGUUUUAGCUACAGGAAACACAUGGUACUUUAUGGGUUCCGGUGAGUAGGAAAUAGCUGGAUUAAAGCGGAUUUUAAUAUUUUGCUUUAUUUCCUAUUUUUAGGCAUAAUUGUAUCUUAUAUGACGCCUAUGUUUAUUCACUCUGUACACCAGUGUUGAAGGUUGAACAAUAAAUUGUGGUUUGAUUCAGUGAGUUGCUACUAAGGCCUGGUAAAGUUUGUGCCAGCAACUGCGGUUAGACAAACAGGCCAAGCUAAGAUUUGUGCAGCAUAAAGUAGGGUUAGGGGUGCAAAAGUUUAGUGCUUGGGAGUUUAAGAUGACUUGAGGGGUGCAAUCCUAAGAGUUGUGGUUUUAUCUAGUAUUUCCUAGCUGCCUGACGCCCUGAAACUCCAACUAAAAACCGGGAUUUGGUAUCCCGUUAUUCGGAGUGUAAACUUUGGUUUGUAAUCUGCUGGGGUACUACGAGCGUUAGAUUUAUUUUGGCUAGGCUUAAAACUCAAAAAACUUGGCGGUGUUUCAUAUCCUCCCAGGGGAACCUGUCUCAUAAACGAUGAUCCACGUUUUAUCUUACCUUGUUUUGAAACGCUUAGUGUGUAGCGGGUCAGCUUGUAUACCGUCGCCGAUAGAUCACCCUUGAGGGGCUUAAAGUGGUCGGGAAGAGAAGUCGAAGGUUGUAGGUUGCUGCUCUGUUAUGAGUAAUUGCGGCUGAUACUUGUUAUGCUGUGGGACCUAAGGGCCCUGCAGUCGUUAGCUUCUCAGGAUGUCAGAUCAAGGUGCAGCUUAUGGCGAGGUGAUGAUGGGUUACAAUAACUUAUUUGUUAUACGGAUUUUUCGUUGUAAUGCGGAAUUUAAAGGCGGACUUGGAUGUAAUGUUGAAUUAGGAAGUCACAGUGAACUAGGUUUUGAGAUGUGUACAAAUCGCCCGUCGCUCUCGUUGAAAAAUGAGAUAAGUCGUAACAUAGUAGGGGUACCGGAAGGUGCCCCUGGAAUAAUGGUUAAUUGGGGUAUAGUAUAAUUAUUACGUUUCGCUUACACUGAAAAUAUGGCUCGCGUGGGCUUGCCCUGAAAGUUAAUUAAUUGCUUUGUUGUGUGUGGUAGUUAGGUCACUUUUAAUGGUUUAUUUUGGAUUUAACAAAUUUUUUAUAGGUGUUAGUAGAUGUAGAAAGAAAACUUUACUGUUUAAGCUAGAGUGAAAAAGUACCGUGAGGGAAAAUAAUUGGGUAUUUAAGCUUUUUUUUAGUAGGGAUGAAAUCCUGUACCUUUUGCAUCAUGGUUUUUUAAGAGGUUUUUUGAAUAAAGUUGGCCCGAAAAAAGACGAGCUAUUUUUUAGCUUGCGUCAUCGUUGUAAAGAUGUGCUGAGACUAAAGGAUAGGAGUGAUAUUCUUUUCGCGUUUUUUGAUAGCUGGUUAGUCGGGAAAAGCAUUAGAGUGCCGGCUUAACUUGUGGUUCUGGCUGUUGUGCAGUGCCGUGUUACGGGAUUGGAUUGAGCGGGGAGUAGUGUUGGGUUAAGUCUUGCGCAAAAAAGGAUUAGCUUUUUUGCGUUGUUAAAGAGCGCAUAGUUGAUAGCGUAAUGAUAGUUUAGUAGGCUUGGAGUUAGUCAUCUUUUAAGUUUGUUUUAAGAUAUUUAUUUAUUUUUAGCUAAAAAUUUGUGUGUGCGUUUUUAAGUGAUUUAGUUGUGAGUACCGACUUUAUUGAUACAAUUAAGUUUAUUUGUGAAAUAAUGAGGAAAUGAGUAUUUAUUUUCAUUUAGUUUGUUUUUGCUUGUUAAAGUAAGUAAACUAAAGUUCAAUUCAUGUGCUGCAUUGAAAAAUAUAAAUCUAGAAAAGGAACUCGGCAAAUGUCGGCCUCGCCUGUUUAGCAAAAACAUGGCUCCUCGGUUAUCUAAGUAAAUGGGGAGUCGGACCUGCCCGGUGACCUAAGGGUUAAACGGCCGCGGUACACUGACCGUGCAAAGGUAGCACAAUCACUUGCCUUUUAAUUGGAGGCUGGUAUGAAUGGUUUGACGAGGGCUGAGCUGUCUCUUCUGGAAUAUUUAAAAAUUAACUUCUAGGUGAAAAGGCUUAGAUUUAGCUGAGGGACGAGAAGACCCUGUUGAGCUUUAGUGUGGAAUAAAAGGCUUUGCCCCUAUCUCAGGUAGAGGGCCGGAAUUUAUUUUUACAUCUUUAGUUGGGGUGACUGGGGAACAAUAAGUAGCUUCUCUGUUUUUAUUAAAUUGAAUUCGGUUUACUGACUGGUGAUCCAGCAUUGUUGAUUAUCGGAAAAAGUUACCACAGGGAUAACAGCGUAAUCUUUCUGGAGAGUUCACAUUGAAAGAAGGGUUUGCGACCUCGAUGUUGGAUUAAGGUGUCCUGAGGGUGUAGCAGCUUUCGUUGGUUGGUCUGUUCGACCAUUAAAACCUUACAUGAUCUGAGUUCAGACCGGCGUAAGCCAGGUUGGUUUCUAUCUUCAGCUUGUUAUAUUCCUUUGACUAGUACGAAAGGACCGUUAUUAAGGUGAAUAUUUAAUUUAUUGGGACUGAAUUUAUUUAAGUUCGGGAUUAAGAAGUGUUUAGAGAUGUUUGUUAAGUUGGCAGAUUUAUGUGACUGAUUUAGGCUCAGUAGAAAAAGGUGAAAUUCCUUUACUUAAUAGUAUAAUGGGGCACUAAUUUUUUGUAGUUCUUUUAUUA
rnacentral:rRNA from 1 species